UGGGGAAUAUUGCACAAUGGACGAAAGUCUGAUGCAGCAACGCCGCGUGGAGGAUGACACAUUUCGGUGCGUAAACUCCUUUUAUAUAGGAAGAUAAUGACGGUACUAUAUGAAUAAGCACCGGCUAACUCCGUGCCAGCAGCCGCGGUAAUACGGAGGGUGCAAGCGUUACUCGGAAUCACUGGGCGUAAAGAGCGUGUAGGCGGGUAUAUAAGUCAGAAGUGAAAUCCUAUAGCUUAACUAUAGAACUGCUUUUGAAACUGUAUACCUAGAAUGUUGGAGAGGUAGAUGGAAUGUCUUGUGUAGGGGUAAAAUCCGUAGAGAUCAGAAGGAAUACCGAUUGCGAAGGCGAUCUACUGGAACAUUAUUGACGCUGAGACGCGAAAGCGUGGGGAGCAAACA
rnacentral:rRNA from 1 species